AAAUUGAAGAGUUUGAUCAUGGCUCAGAUUGAACGCUGGCGGCAGGCCUAACACAUGCAAGUCGAGCGGUAGCACAGAGAGCUUGCUCUCGGGUGACGAGCGGCGGACGGGUGAGUAAUGUCUGGGAAACUGCCUGAUGGAGGGGGAUAACUACUGGAAACGGUAGCUAAUACCGCAUAACGUCGCAAGACCAAAGUGGGGGACCUUCGGGCCUCAUGCCAUCAGAUGUGCCCAGAUGGGAUUAGCUAGUAGGUGGGGUAAUGGCUCACCUAGGCGACGAUCCCUAGCUGGUCUGAGAGGAUGACCAGCCACACUGGAACUGAGACACGGUCCAGACUCCUACGGGAGGCAGCAGUGGGGAAUAUUGCACAAUGGGCGCAAGCCUGAUGCAGCCAUGCCGCGUGUGUGAAGAAGGCCUUCGGGUUGUAAAGCACUUUCAGCGGGGAGGAAGGCGUUAAGGUUAAUAACCUUGGCGAUUGACGUUACCCGCAGAAGAAGCACCGGCUAACUCCGUGCCAGCAGCCGCGGUAAUACGGAGGGUGCAAGCGUUAAUCGGAAUUACUGGGCGUAAAGCGCACGCAGGCGGUCUGUCAAGUCGGAUGUGAAAUCCCCGGGCUCAACCUGGGAACUGCAUUCGAAACUGGCAGGCUAGAGUCUUGUAGAGGGGGGUAGAAUUCCAGGUGUAGCGGUGAAAUGCGUAGAGAUCUGGAGGAAUACCGGUGGCGAAGGCGGCCCCCUGGACAAAGACUGACGCUCAGGUGCGAAAGCGUGGGGAGCAAACAGGAUUAGAUACCCCGGUAGUCCACGCCGUAAACGAUGUCGAUUUGGAGGUUGUGCCCUUGAGGCGUGGCUUCCGGAGCUAACGCGUUAAAUCGACCGCCUGGGGAGUACGUCCGCAAGGUUAAAACUCAAAUGAAUUGACGGGGGCCCGCACAAGCGGUGGAGCAUGUGGUUUAAUUCGAUGCAACGCGAAGAACCUUACCUGGUCUUGACAUCCACAGAACUUUCCAGAGAUGGAUUGGUGCCUUCGGGAACUGUGAGACAGGUGCUGCAUGGCUGUCGUCAGCUCGUGUUGUGAAAUGUUGGGUUAAGUCCCGCAACGAGCGCAACCCUUAUCCUUUGUUGCCAGCGGUCCGGCCGGGAACUCAAAGGAGACUGCCAGUGAUAAACUGGAGGAAGGUGGGGAUGACGUCAAGUCAUCAUGGCCCUUACGACCAGGGCUACACACGUGCUACAAUGGCAUAUACAAAGAGAAGCGACCUCGCGAGAGCAAGCGGACCUCAUAAAGUAUGUCGUAGUCCGGAUUGGAGUCUGCAACUCGACUCCAUGAAGUCGGAAUCGCUAGUAAUCGUAGAUCAGAAUGCUACGGUGAAUACGUUCCCGGGCCUUGUACACACCGCCCGUCACACCAUGGGAGUGGGUUGCAAAAGAAGUAGGUAGCUUAACCUUCGGGAGGGCGCUUACCACUUUGUGAUUCAUGACUGGGGUGAAGUCGUAACAAGGUAACCGUAGGGGAACCUGCGGUUGGAUCACCUCCUUA
rnacentral:rRNA from 1 species